AGCCCUUAUUUUUAAGUAAGUUUAAUAAAAGACUAAUUAAUUAUCUUAGUUUAAUUAUUAUAUUUUAAUAGUAGGAUGGAUUAUAAUAUUUAAAGACAAAAGGGAACACAAUUAUUAAAAUGGUAAAAUGAUGUUAUGGUAUAUGAUUUUAUGAUGUAUACCUUGAUUUUUUUUUUUAGAAAAAAAAAAUAAUAAUAAAAGAGAAAAAGAACACUAUUAUUUCUCUAUAAUGUAUGUGGCUUAUGUUGAGAAUGCCACAUUAUUUCCUUGUUGUCAAAUUCUCACAAUUCUUCAUUAAAGAUAUAAAGAACUUAUACCCAAUUUCCUCCUUCUUCAUUCACUAUUAUAUCUCUCAAUUCCCUUCAACAGAAUAAAAGAAACCCCAAACCCCAAUUCAUUUUCUCUCUCUCAUUCACUGUCCUCCUUCUUCCUCUGUUCUGUCCGUCGAAUUCAAGCAAGAUGCGCUCAUGUUUUGGUCUUUGUUCCUUCAUGAAAGUUGUAGAUCUCCUCGAGAUAUUGAAUUUAGACUCAAAAAUUUCUUCAAUCUGAGUUCGGAGCUAGGAGUUAUGAUCUCUGGAAGUUGUAGUUGUUUGCUGCCACUGUUUCAGCGUUUUUUCUCUCUCCUCUUCUUCGUGGAUGCUGAUGCCACCUGAUUUGUUGGUGUUGUGGCUGUUGCAUGUUGUUGUUGUCAAAGAAUUCUUUCUUUUGCUUCUGUCCCAUCGGUGCUGCUACUGUUUUCCGGUCCUCUUCGCCGGCGAGCUACCACCAUCGAGGUUGUGCGCAUCGUGUUGAUUGGCUGAAUUGAGUUCUUGUGUCUUGUUGUUUGUGAAUUCCAAAAUCAGGUAUAACAAUUAAGUUUUCAUAAAUAUGAUUUCCUAAAGAUAUAAUUAUUGUUGUUUGAUUCAAUUCAAAUUGUUAAAGUUGAUCAUGAUUUAUGUUGGUAAACUUUUAUUUUACAUUGUAGCUUCCAAAUUACUUUGUUCUGUCAGGAAGUUUUAAGUAUAUUUGUAUACUUAUAAACAAUAACCAGUUUUAAGAGAAGAUGUUUUUAAUUCAGAAUAUGGUGGAACUAAUAAUCAAGAUGGAUAUCAUGUUCCAAACAAGUAACUUGCUGUGUUUUCUUUUCAAUGGAUUCAAGUGAGUUUUGUAAGAGCAAUUUGAUGAUCUUGUUACGAAAAUCAGAUAUGAUAAAAGUGUGUUCAACUUAAUGAUUAAAUCUUUCCUAUUUAUUUAAUGGGUUGGCUUGAGAUUUAUAAAUUGUAUUUAUAUUUCUUAAGUUAGUUUAUGAAAUCAAAUUAUCAUAAGCCAUGUUGUUUAACAGUAUCCUUUGUGAAUUAGAAUGAGGUAAAUUGGAGUUAGAGAUUGAUAUAGUGAAUUGGAUUAGUUGAAUGGUUUGUAAAUAAGGAGUUGUGGGUAGUUCAUGAAAGAGGUUAGAAGGCAUGAGAAAGUUAAUUUCUUUAUCUAAUUGGUAGUAAGGAUGUUGAUUGUUGUUCAUAUUGUUGUGAGGUGAUUGUUGGAGAUUGAUAAAGAAUUUGGAAAUGUUGGAACCUUGAAGAUUAUAAUGGAAUCGAGCGUUCUUUGGGGAAAUGAAGGAGAGUUCUUUGUUAGUGAUCUUGCAGGUUCGUAUGUGGAAAGCUCGAAAUGGAGUAAAAGGAAGAACUUAAGUAUCAAGGUUAUAAUGAGAUGUAAGGGUUCCGAGGUUGUAUUUGGGAUUAUUUAUCCUUAUUUAUGAAUAAAUUAUUAUAUUGCUUUAGAAGUCGAACAAGGUAUUAUUGUAAUAUGUUAUUGGUUAUUAAGAUGUGUUGUGGGCCCUGACCCACAGGUCCAGGAUCGUGUAUUGAAGGUUUUAUUCCGCUGCGAGUAAAUAAUUAAUUCGAGGCUAUUAAGUGUUAA